CAUAUCAACUUUCAAUGCCAUUUACUGCACCUACCAUGGUGACCACGGGUAACGGGGAAUCAGGGUUCGAUUCCA